UUUGUAACUAAUACAAGUCUCUCUGUGUAUUCAUUUGGGCCUAACUCGGGCGGUUGGCUGGCGUAAAGCUCGCUCGUGGCGGGGGGGCUCAGGCGGCUUUUGGCAAAAAGAUUUAUCGUAACAGGGGUGUCUAUGAGCCCCUUUAUAGAUGAUUUGAGAGUUUGUGGGAGUACCAAGUGUGAUGGCACAUGGGAGAUGGCAAUAGGUGGGCCUAUAUGAGUUUGAGGAUUGUACAUACAAAGUUUCAGGCCAGUUAAGACUACAAAAGUCUUGAUAAGUAGCUUAGGCUGUGUUUGCCGUAUGGGGGAUCCCCUUAGGUGGAGUUACAAACAUGCAAAGAAAUUUCACACAUGAGACCCUGCCUCAAUAAACAAAUAAAUGAACAAAUAAGUAAUGUGCAUGGGAGAAUCACAUAAGUUAUAUUCUAAUACUACAGAAUUUUAUGUAAGAAACUUGAGCAUUCAUGGAUUUGGGCAUCCAGAUGAGGUACUGGGACUGAUCUUGUGUGAAUACCGAGGAACAAUUCUAUCUUUGUAGUCUCAUUUGAUUUCUAGUUACUUUGUACAAUUGGAAACAUUUAUAUCUGAAUACAUGAAGAAAAGGAUAAUACACACAAUGUGAUCAUGCUUGAUUCUUCUAGAAAUGUGAAAGCCAAUAAAAUGAGUGUGCCUGGAGCAACAUAUGCUAAACUAAACUUGCUUCCAGCAAAGUUAAAAAAUUUAGGACACAAGAUACAAAUUUUAUAAUAAGAAAAACAUUUGUGUUUAGUUUUGUAAAACAAAAUGUGCUUAAGGAAAAUUAAUUUCACAUUUGUAACACGAAUAUGAGAGGAAACAGAACUAUACUGUUCUUAUCCAGUAUGCUAUUUUGUGAUUAAUAGUAGUAGUGGUGCCACCGGAUCAAAACAAUUGAGUGUCAUUCAGUUAUUUUCCCUCAGAAUAUUACAUAAAAUCAUGAAACUUGUGUUCAAGAAUUACUCAGACAAUGAUAUAGUAAAUGUUUGAAAGCUGUCCUACAUGGCUUUCUCUAUUUAUUAUUUAAGAUUUUAGUCAACUGUUUUUGGAAGUUAGCUUAACAUGGUUAGUUCCUGGCUAGCAUGUAUGUUCAGACUCUUGAGACUAGACAGUCAUCAUGAUAACUUAAUAUAGGCACUGUACCAAGCAUUGUGAGGAGACUUCCAAUUUUCCCUCCCAGGUAUCAAAUAUUAUUAUCUUUUGACCUCUUAUAAUCCCCAUUAUCUGUUAAAUGAAACUCAUACUUCAGUAAACAAGUCUUAAGUGUCCUCAUGAUGUUUUCAUUCCAGUUGAAAGGACUGAUAAAAUACGGAAGACAGUUUUUUUUUUCAAACUUAAGACCACUUAGAAACUGGAUCAGAGUGAACAGAAACCAACCUGAAGUUUCAAAUGCAACAUAGUAUGUGAUAAAAUUGUACAUUUCAAGUAAAAGGAGAAAGGAUAGUAUGGGGCAUUGAAAGAUGAAUGAGGUUGGGAAGGAAGGAAGUGAAAGUUUUUGAAAAGAGGACAGCAAUAAGAAUGAAGGAUCCAUAUACUAUUUUUUUUUCUGAACAAGUAUAGUUUGAUGCCAAGGGCUUAUUGGGCAUUCUGUAGGGACAGCACCCUUUCCUGGUCUCCUGCAACUUUCUGCCCUUCUUAAUGUUGAACGAAUGAGGAAAGCCUGACUUAUAGUGCAUGAGAGUGCAGGCCAUAUUCGUGUAGGGAGACACAUCAAGGGUUGCCUUUACUGGCACUUGCAAUCAAUGCCUGUUGACAGAACUCUUUUUUUUAGAGCUGGAAUCCUGGCAGUUCCACAGACCUUGCACUGGUCUCCCUAGGAAGCCUGGCAAAGGACAUCAGAAACUUGCUCCAGUUUAUUCAGAAUGGCAGCUGAUUGAGUCUCACAGAAACCAAACAUCAAAUGCAAGUCUCAGUUUUCUACUGAAGUUGUCUACCUCAUGACUGAAUUUCAAAGUUUAAAGACAUCUUUUCCCCUUAGGGAAGAAUUAGUUGGAAAAAGCUAUGUAGGAAAAUAGGUAUCAAUUCUCUGUUACUUUAUUUUCACCAAAUACUUUCACAUUGCUGGAGGAUUUGUAGAUCUAAACAGAAACAAGGUUAGUUUAAAGAAAGCCAAGUAAAACCACUUGUUUGUUGUUUCGGAAAUCAAACAAUAGUUAGAUUACAUGAUACUAAUAUUUUUUAUUUUAAAUUGUUUUUUAAAUCUUGUGGCUCAAAGCCCACAUUACACAGUCUUAUAUUAAUUCCAUAGAUGGCAUAAUCUGUAAGAAAAGAUGAAAUGCAGGAGAAAGUCUGAUACUCUCUAAAAAUAGUACAUGAGCUCUAGACAAAUAACCAUAGAGAAAUACACUAACCAUUGAAUAAAUCAAGGGAAAAUGUGAAGAGUAAAAUUACAAAUUCAACAACGUGCACUGUGAUUUCAUGAGGAAAAGCAUAUGUGUCUUUUGAGGGGAUCUAGUGUGUGCCUGCAGCACAGCGUGAGCUGAUGUGCUUGCUGGAUACAUUGAUAUAAAACUGAGGUCAUGGAGAAAAGCAGUAUGGGAGCAAUGGUUAUUAAAAAUGGGGGAGAGAUGACUAAAUUAAAAUGGACCAUAACAGGAAAAUAGUCUUUAUGGAAGUCCAGAUAAUAGUAGAGACACUUUCUUGAGCUUCAUUCUUGCCUUCCCUUUAAAGUAGGAAGCCAGCAUCACAGCUUGCUUCAGACAUGGAGAAGGGGAGGAAAUGGCCUUAGCACCUUAUUUAUCAUAGCUGCAGAGAUGUCAAAGUCUUGUGAGGCAUUGGCAUUAGAGGAAUCAUGCAGAGGGUAGAAACAUUGGACUCCAUUAUUUUUGCAACUUUUCUGUGAAAAUUCCAAAAGUGUCCUGGUCUUUCCUUUUUUCUAGUUACUAUUCAUGAGUCUGGGACUUAGACCAUCAGCCAGCAUCCCUGGUUAGUGACCAGAGGAGCUGUCCUUUUCUAAAUAAGGGCAGAUAUGAGAAAUGCCUUAGCCUUGAUUAUUUUCAUUCAUCUGUCUUUUACUUAGGUGCUAUGCGGCCCUAAAUAUACCUAUAAAAACUCAAGCUUAUUUUUAUUGGUAAGGUCUAGAGAAAGUAAAUUUUAAAAAUUAGAAAUAAAAGCAUAGUAUUACCCCCCAAACUAGAUUCAAAUAACUAUAUAGAGGUAGGCUAUCAAGUAAAGACAAAUCAAGAGUAAAUUGCCAACUAUAUUGAAAUGCUACCAAUCUUGAAGUUGUGUUCCAGAUUCCUGAGUAUAGUAGCUCAGAAUAUGCAGGCAAAGAACAAAGGAUAAAAGAUGCGUUCUAUUUUCCAAAGCUUUUCUUUCAUUUUAUUGCAGGGCCCUGGGGUGGGCUCUGAGCAUAAGCUCGCUGUUCACCAAUCACUCGCUAAUAACUGGAGCUGAAAGAGGGCUCUGCCCUAAUGCCAUUAUGUUCAAGAGCCAUGAUUGAUUGUGUUAUAGUAUGUUUUUGAAACCUAAUUACUGUCUGAGAGAGUAUCUGUACUCAUUAAUCUUUAGUCCUGUAAAUAAGUAAAAUUGACUAAAUAACUGGAUUUCUCUAAUGAUGGCUUAGGUUAUCUUUGAACCACUGCCUUGCCCUACCCUCUUCAGAGCAGCAAAUUAUUUUCUUAAUGGUAAUUGCUCCCCAGUUUUGAAAUCAAUUUGUAAAAGUCGGCUUAUAAAACAAUUUUCCGUGUUGCCCUGUGGUUGCCCAGUCCCUGUUCUAUGUUUGUGGUAUAAUGAGCACACCCCGUGAAGUGCUCACAUCUAUUGUGUUCACAGAUGGCCUCCAUGGUGGGGAGGGACACAUCACUUAAGGAGAGAAGAGGCUUGAGAGGGGUUAGGUUUGCUUUCACCUUACUGAACUCUACUUCAUUCUCACCCAAAUGGAAAAAGUUCUAUUUAGCACAACAUAUGCCAUGUACUCUAAAUAAGGCAAUAAUUAACACGACCACAAUUUCCUUUUCUACUUCCUAAUAACCAACCCAGGAUAGCUAAGGUGUGGGAUUUAAUGAUACAUUUUUCUUUCUCUCUUUCCCACCCCAUCUACUUACCAUUUUAUUACCCAUUAUAAUUAUUCCUUAGACAGUGAGCUUGAGGAAUUGGAUUAUGUUAUGUUCAUAUACACCAAGGGACUUCUUCUUCCAGACCAAAUCAAGUAAAAUUGACUGGACAUUCUCUAUUCUCACAACAGUUAGAUAUUAAAAAGUACAAAAAAUUGAUAUUUUGACACACUGGAUAUAGCAUCAAAGGACAAUGAUGCUGAGAGACAAGGUCAGAUGAGCCCACUUCUACUGAAGUUACAACCUCAAGAAAAUUUCCAGAUGGUGACCUCGAGAGAGAAGACCCUGGAAUGAAAUAUGGAUGGAAAUCCAGGGAUCACAGGGCAAGGAACCAGAGAGGCAGCUGAUAUACAACGAAAAUUCUAUUAUUCUGUGGAGGACCCACUUUGAAUAUCCAGUUAAAAAUAAAUCAGAACAUCUACAAAGAAGCUAAUCAGGAAGGCAAAACGUAUUUAAUGGAACCUGGCCAUACAGGAUGCUGCAACUGGUCAUAAUGAUGUGAAUAAGAUGGCCUUAAAUGAGAUUUUGGUCUAUUUCAUAUACAACAGUUCCAUUUCCCUAUAAGGAAUAUAUUCUUUAAAUUUCCAUCUUGCCAGUGACACUAUUAAAAUUUCUUACAGUUGAUUCAGACCAUAGGCUCAAGAAGGCAAGUAUACAUUUAAACCAUUAUAUAAGCUGCUGAUGUCUGGAGAAGGAUUGUUUGCUGGUCAUUAUUAAGCCCCAUCCAAAACCUUCUUUAAAAACAGAGCAGUAACUAAAAUAAGAACAAGGUCAGUUUGGGAACCAGGUAGCCCAAAUCAUAGGGUUUUCCUAUCUCAGUUCAUUGUUGACCCAACUUCAUUAUUUAGGAUCUAUGGCUGUCUCUACUGAUUUCUCUUCCUUCUACAGAGCGUUGUCAGUUCUUCUGCAAAGUCCCUUAACUAUGCUGACCUAACUUGGAGGCUUCCUCUUCUGAGGUUACUCCUCUGGUUCCUCGCUGUUUUGGAUUGCUAAUUAUACUUUCGUUUGUCUGUCCAACCUUUCAACCAGAUUUAGGUAGGUAACUAUCAAACAUGUUGAGGCAGAUGUUCAUCUACCCAGAAUCCCCAGUCAUUUUACCUUGUUCAUUUUACCAUAUUUAUUAGCCUUUGUCUUUUUUUCCUUUAGAACAACAGCAGUAGUAAGUUACUCUCUAGAGUUUAUGACUCUCAGAGCUUUUGACCAGGCUUUCAGAACCAGACCUAAAUUCUUACCUGUGGAAUAGGCUCAAAUUCAAUCAGAAAGUGAUUAGCACUCAUAACCCUUGUGCUACUACUGUACUCAUAGGAACAUUUGCCUGCUCAUUGCUAUCAUGAUGUGCAGGGCUAGCUUCAGGAAUACCAUUGGUAUAUUUUCUCUCUGAAGAGGGCCCUGGGUAUCACUUUUCAUCACUAUGAAAGCUAGUCAGCAGGGAGAAAGUUUUCAGUAUUUGCCAACUUUAUUUCUCUAUGUCCUGCAACUGAAAUAGGUUGUAUUUUCAGAAUAAGAUUUUACCAUCUGAUUCUGAUGCCAAGAGUAGAGCAAAAGACAUGUCAUUUUGAGGGACUUCUUGAGGGUCUCUCUGUUCAGUAACUUAUAGGCAAGUAUCCCAUGCCUGGUACUGAGAGAUUUUCAUUUAAUAAUUCAUAUCUUCUAGGGGAAUCAUUUUCUACCCUUGCAGGGUAUCUGUGUUUGAGCUCUGUCUAUAGUUUUAAUUGUAUUCUCAAUUAUCUUACAAAGUAGUGGCUUUCCAUAGGGGUUUUUCCUAUAUUCUUAGUUUUGAUUAACCAACCCUGUCCCCUUCUGUUAGUUGUUGAGGGAAACAAUCUGUCUAUUCUCCUCAACCAUUAAGUAUGUUUUGACUCUCUACUAGAUACUGGACUCUAUCCUAGACACUAGAGGUACAGUAACAUAUAGGACAGCAUUUGUCCACUCUCUCAAGGAGCAUACAUUUUAGUAGACACUCAAAGUCAACAAAUAAGCAAUCAGGAUAUGUGGAACAUGAUAAGAUAAGGUAGGGUCAAAAUUGAGAAUAAUUUUAAGUAGGACAACAGACUACAGAGAGAUAAUAGUAUCAGAAUAUUGGCAAGGAUGGUCAGAAAUCCUUUCAGGAGGUAGCAUUUGUAUUCAGAUAUACUUACAACAAUUUCAGGGAAUCUAGGAGAGAAGUUCUGUAUGGUCACCAUGUGCUGAGUACAUUACAAGGUAAAGAUACAAAGGCUAAACUGGAGUCUAUAAAGGGGAUGGGGCAAAAUAAAUGAAAGCUGAGUUUUGAGGUAGAAGACGUGGCCUGGAAUAUGAAUGGAUAUUGGUCUUUGCUUUUACUCUUUUUGGGGGGGUAUACAUAAAGCACACAAAUAUUACUUGUUAAGUUACAUGAACAGAUACAUUUCCCAUCUAAAAUGCAAAAGGCUUCUAAUUUCUUCCUUUCUUUACAAACAGUUGCUAAUAUAAUUAUUUUAAUUUCAGCCAUUCUGAUAGGCAUACAUGUGGAGGUAUUUUGGGGGGUGGGAGAUUUUUACAUAUAUUGUUUGUAUAGCAUACCUACAACUUAAGUACUUGGCAUAUUGUAUUCUCAUAGAUAUUUAUCAUUAUAUAUAUGUAUAUGUAAACAUUCCCCCCCCACACACACACACAAUCUACCACCUGGAUUCAAUAUAAUGCCAGCAUACGCUAGAUGUCUUUCUUAUCUUCUUCCAGGAGUGAUUAAUCCUUGGCACUUGCCUUUCAUUCGCCACACAGAACUUCUGUCCCAGAUUCUACCCAAUUGUCAUUAGCACACCUCAGUUCAAAUAUCACCCCCUGAGAAGCUUUCUGGGUACACUAGCUAAAAUUUUCCCCAACUAUCAUGAUACCCUUUGUCCCUUUGAUUAAUUUUGUUUACUUUUGAACAAAAUAUAAGCAAGCACUGCAUGCAUUCUUUUGGGUUAAGAAGAAGUGUGGCUAUUUCACAAUUUGUCUUACUCUUGAUAGAUUUUGCGUUGUGUCAGGUCUCAAGAUAUUAUGACUAAAGCUGUUAUAAACAUCCUGGUACAUGCCUUUGAUAGAUGUGUGUACUCAGUUAGAACAUAUUUGCUUAUUUAACAGAUGUCAGAAAACAGUUUUUUAAAGUGAUAGUAUCUUAUAUUCUUCUUUUAAAAUGCAAAAAGGGUUCUGAUUUUUUCCCUUCUCUACAAACACUUUCCAUUAUCAUUGUUUCUAAUUCUAAUAGGCAUAUAUGGGUAUGAUUUUUGUUGUGAAGACUUUUUAGGGAAUGAGAAAGAUUUUUAAAUAUAUUUGUAACACAUUUCUACAUCCCAAGUAAUCAAUAUAUUGUCCUGCCAUAGAUUUUACUAUUGUGUUAUUGAUUAUGUAGUUUGAUUUCAAAAUUUUAGAUUUCCGACUUCCUGGCUUACAUUCCUUAAUUCCAAUACUAUAUUAUUUUCCCUUUUUAAUAAUCCCAAUAGCAGUGUAAGAACUCAAGCAUGUUGACAUUACAUCAUAAGUUCAUUGUCUUUUAAGAAAGCAAUAUUUCAUCUUUUAUAGGGGAUCCUAUUCCAAGAUAGAAAGGAAAAUAGAAAACAGGACUUAGAACUUGAGAGGGAAAAUCUGAAUGAGCCUCCAGUUUAAUGCAGUUUCCAUUCUUGGAGCCAAAAGGCUGUGCAGUCAAUACACAAAGGGAGUUGCUGGGGAGUGGGAACUGUUGGUUUCAUUACAUGCUCAUUACACCACUGCAUCAGGGUGUCUAGGAGUUUCGCCCUCAUGAUGAAAUUAAGAGUGUUAUCCUUCAUUUCCUGUUUUGGAAAAUAGUUUGACUUAAGAAAAAAAGGUUAAUUGCAUAUUGUUUUUGUGAAUUGGGUUGAUAAUUUUUCAUAUCAUAAUUAGCUAAUUAGAAUUCUAUUAUUUUCCAACAGCUUUAAUGAGGUCUUCUACUUGGCAAAGAACCUGUGAGACCAAAAACCAUUGCCAUUUGUUAAAAGAUGGAGAAACCCUGAUGACAAGCGGAUUUUUCAUUGCAUUUCACCUCUGUGCCCUCCUCAGAGAAUUCGUGGCGUCUGAGUUAAAAUAGGUGGAAAGAAUCUCCGUUUCCAGCCGUGGCUCCCCAGCUUGGUUGGAAUGCUCAUCUGGUUGUGAUAGAGGCUGCCUUUUGGCCAGCAGUUCUUAAAAUAGCUCCUUGGCUUGUAAAGCAAAAAGAAUUAGACAUUUGAGCAGCUCAGAGUUUGCUCUCUGGAUGCUUCUGGCAACUUGCUUUGGGGGGCACUGUUGCUCCAGCUUGGGAGUGCUAUCCAGGCUCUAGUGAAUGAUGGCUCUCUCUUGCGCAAUCUGGUAUCUGUACCCCCUGUCAAGUAAUCAUUACAAAUGUUUCAUGUAGGAGCAAGCUGGCUCUAAGCAAAGGUCUGCCUUUUAGUAGAAGCAUGGGCCUGAGGGGUGGGGCCCACUGUGUCCUGUCCAUGGUAACAUUUUCCCCUUUGACAGUGUAAUUAAGUGCUAAUUAACUAAAUGAGUGUAAAUGUUGAAGGUUGAGAUAAAUAUCCACAUCUUCUUAAUCUAUUUUCCUCUCCAAGAUUUGAUAAAGGAAAUCUGGAUUUAAUGGAGGAUAUUUGUCAAUUAUUUUUUUAAGACCACAAAUCUGUUUAGAAGGAACUCAGAUGCACCAGUUUUAAUUUCUACAGGAAAAGUUAACAGCAUAUAAAUAUAGGAGAGAUACAAUAAAAUGUGGAUGCAAUACUGCAAUAAUUAUGGUAAGGAGGAUGAGUGAAACUACCUUUUGGAAACAUCUGGUUUCUGUUUUUUUCAUAUCCUGCAGAUGUUGCUGAAUUGAUGUAAAAUACUGACGGGAGAAUACAUUAGCCCAUGAAGUCACUCCAAUGAAUAAAGCAAAGACUAGCCUCUUAACUUUCUAAAAAAUCUAGUUAGGAAAGAACCCUGCUUUCAGUGGAGGCAGCGAUUAGGCCAAUAAUUGAGAGGGGCCCAGGGCCUUCUAAAAGUGUCAAUAGUGAUCUGUUCUUGCCAAAGGGGAAAAGAGAUGCUUUGUGGAGGAGCUGCCUGGGUAAUAAAUGGGCAUCUUUGUAAUUCAGGCACUUUCCCAUUACCUUCCAUGGUGAGUGAUUGGAAAUGAGGCUGAGGAGCAGCCAUGGGAAGCCCACUCCUGUGCUUGGCAGGGGAGCAAAAAGGCUACUGCCUCUUGCCCCAAUUCCCCUGCCUGUCUCGCCAGCCUCUGGAGCUGAAGUGAGACCCGGAGUCACAUACUCAGCUCUUGAGUUAGAGCAAGAAUCUUGGAAAGAGGGUUCCAUUUGGUUCAGGAUAGUCAACACCCUUCCCAGGCAGGAAGUAGCAGGGUAGACAUAUGUAUGUUGAACUUCCUGGAAAGCAAGGGAUAGGCCUGGGAAAGUGGAACUCAUUUAAUGGGGUUUAGUUGCACAUGAGAUUAAAACCCCGAAAUAAAUGCAAAAGAAAUAUUUUGGCCUAUACCCUAUUUGGCAGGAGGAUUGGGAGCCCGAAAUAGUCCUCUGGCUGCCUGGGAACUCUGAACCACUCCCAGUACUGACAUCACCACUUUGAGUUGCAGUAUCAUGCACAUAUUCAGAAGGUCCCAAUUAAAAUAACAAGGGUUUUUCUGGUAACCACCCUGGCCAACAAGAAGGGCAUACCUAUAUACAUACCUAUAUAAAUGUACUUGUUAAACACACACACACACACACACACACACACACACACACACACACACACACACACACACACACACACACACACACACACACACACAGAAACAGCACUUUUCUGGUUCUCCUCUCAGUUGUCUCAGUUGUUGACCUUUGAUGGCUCAUGAUAGCAGUAUCAUCUGUUUUGUUCUGAGACAAAAGGACAAAUCUGUGUCAUGGCUCAGAAAAGACUUGUUAUGGUCUGCUCUGUGAGGCCUGGAGGUCCCCGGUGAGGGAGUCCCUCCUGGCCACACAGUCCUUCCACUUCAGCCACAAAUGUGUGUGGAUAACCCCAGCCCUUUCUCCUGCUCUACCAUUUGGCCAGGCCUUCAUUAGUGACGUUUUUUUUUCUUGCUGGCAUUAUAUAAGCCUCAUCUCUCCUCCCACUCAGCCCUUCUUUCCUUUGCACCUGGCUAAUUUCUGAUGGUGAUUUAUCAGCUGUAUUUCUCAAUGCCAGAUUGUCAGGUUAAACUCAAUAUGGCCAGUUCUCGCUCCUUUGGGGGAAUUUUGGCGCUAAUGCAGAGUGCUAUUUAAAGGAUAUUUAGCUUUGUUGGCAGUGUCAUCAUAAUGGCUUUGAACAUUUAGGUGUCUUUGAGAAUGAGUGACAUAGCUCCCCAGCUUUUUCUUCACUGAUCAUUUCUUUUCCAUCUUUGGCUAAGAGCAAAUGGUGAAUCUCCUGAUCCUCCCAGCGAUAAUGGUAUAGGUGAGUACCAAAGUAGGAUGUUGAGGUUUAGGUGAAGAAAUUGAUGCUCACAGGAACGGAAGAAAUUUAUUCAAGAUCAUACAGAUAAGCCCAUGAGGAUCAAUAGGUCCCAAAGGAGACAGAUGAGAACUGUUCUUAUUUUAGGGAGAGAUCUAGAAGUCAUGUUUCGUCUACCAUGCACUUAUUCAAUUCAAGAAUUUGAUCGUGCAAUCCAGUAGGCUGUAAGUUUUUAUAGGAAGUAAAAUGAUAUGGCAGAUUUUUAUAUGAAAGAUGAGAUGGAACAAGGUGAUAGAGAGUGCUGUGGGGAGGUGGGAGGAGGGUACGCUCUCACCUCCAACUAACUAGCCAUAGCUGUGUGACAUUGGUCAAAUCACAGUAUCAUCUGUGUUUUCAGUGCUUCAAGUACAAAACAGUGUGGAUUACAUUUUUUUCUUGUAGGUUGAAAUUUAAUUAUUCUGUAAAUAAAAGCUGUAACUUAUAGAAAGAAUAAUGGGCGUUGAAUGUGGAGAGGGCUUUCUUUGAGAAUUGAUGUGUUUGGCAGAGAACACACUGUUAGUUAAUAUCACCAGAGAGGAAGGUGGGAAACCCCCAAGAAAUAUAACCAGUUUGCCUUGUGGAAACCAGCAUGACAAGGGGCAUUUCAUAUUACUCACUACACAGUGGCUAAUUAGUCAAGAAGGAAACAGCCAUUUCUUGGAAAGUCUCCUGGAAAACUGUAUACUGAUUUUUGACUACCUCAAUUUGUUUCUGAGAAUUGCAACUAUUAAGGUAAAAAGUGAAUUAACCAGCCAAUGGGAUGCUUCUAAAUAAUCUGGAUCCUUUGCAAAACAUGACAAACAUCUAUUCAGUUGAUCCUACUGUCUGAUAGAAAAUUGAAGUUGCUCGCCUCCAGCUUUCUCUCCAGCUACUGUCUUUACCAGCUCACACCGAUGUUCAGCUCUUCCCACUGUUCACACCAACAACCUGAAGGAAGGUCUGGGAUUUGGGCCUGUAGACCUGCUACAUUCCUUAAGCUGUCUUUCAAGUCACUUGGUAGACCAGGCAGCUAACCAGGCUGCUAACUCACACGGAUCAGAUCUACCUGCUUCUGUCUCAUGAGUGUGCUGAGAUUAAAGGCAUGCACCACCAUGCCCAGCUUGCAGUCUUACACAGAGAAAUCCAUAGUCUGUUUACACCAGUCUCAGGUAGGGAGUUUCUCUCUUGGCUUUUCUGAGAGGGGACACUCAUCUUAGGGCUUCUGCCUUCUGUUCCCAGUGGGAGUCAUCAUCUCUUUGGGACAUUUUCUCCUUUCUAUUACCAUUUACCAUGAAUUUUCUAGUAGAAUUGAAGUUACUCUCACUGAAGUCACUCUCAAGAGAGUCCCUAUUAACAACACUUUGAAUGCAAAAAACCCCAAAAGACCAGGGUAUAGACUAGCUGCCAUUUUGGUAUCUUUUCAUCUUUGGGGUGUUUGAAUUUAUGAAUUGUUUGUUUGACAAUAGAAACGAGAUCCUACUUUUAAGUAAAAUUCAGGGUAAUAAUUUAUGGCUGUGUUUUCUUUUUAAACACAAUUGUAGUUCCUUUUGAGUUAUUAAAGAAUACACUGAAUGCUGUUAAGUAGAAACACUAAUGUGAUGUCAAAUGUUAGUAAGUUAUUUAGAAUAGAGGAACAAAAGAAUCAGGGAGUGUGAGAAGAAAAGAAAGAAACCUAUGGGAUGACCCUGAGAAAGUUAAUCUUCUUUGGAGAUAUGAAAUGUUUCCUCAAAAUGAAUAAGUACCAAAUGAAACAAUAGAGGUGGCGGGGGGGGGGGAGGGCUUGGAAAGUAGAUUAUGGCCUCCAUGUACACCUUCUCAUUUAGCUGCCUGGUGAUUUUUGUUUUGUCUUUUAAUUUACUUCCUUGCAAAAGCUAGUGUUCCUUUGCUGCAACUCUCUUGUGUCCCAGUCUUCCCUAUGGAUCUCUUCAAAUGGGAGGAGUUAGCUGAAUGUAUAGCAGACCAAGCUGUGUAAGGAAGAUUAGGCCAACAGUAGUCCAAUGAACAUCUUAAGUAGGGGUUGAUUCUGAACCAUAAUUGACCCAGUUGAAGACCUUACAUCAUGCAAGGCAAACAGAGGUCCCUGAUGCCAAAAUUAGGCCUUUGGUCUAGUUACUAAGAUUAUGUUGUUGAUUAUUUUCAGUCAUCUUCACAGAUCAUCUCUAUAAGGGGAGGAGAUCCAUAAGGAAGUUUGAAACAGAAGGGAGGGGGAAAUUCAGGAGCUGUAGCAAAUGGCCAUUAAGUUUCUCAAGGAAGUAAAUUAAAAGACAAAACACAAGUGAUCAGGUCCAUUAGUAUUUAGAUUAUUGAGGACUUGUCAGGGCAUAUGAAGAACAAGUAUGGGCAUGUGCGACAGUUAAGCAGGUAAAGGUGCACGCUGCCAAGCCCAAUGACCCGAGUUCUGUCACUGGAUCUCACAUAGUAGGAGAGAACUGGCUCUCUGAUCUCCACAUAUAGUGCCAUGGAGCAUGCACAACACCCAUCUGACCUGCUAAGUAAAUAAAUUUACAAAUAAAUGUAAAUUUAAACUUUUUUAAAAAAAGAACAAGUUUAGAAAGAGGUUUUGUUUGGAUUGUCACUCAAAGGAAAUACCUGGCUAGGCUUUACGCCUGCUUAUCAGUUUAUCCUGUGAUGGAUGGCUUUUCUUGCUUUUACUGGACGUAUAAAGCUAGGAGGCAAUCCUAACUUGCUCAGCAACAUGCAACACAAUUCUCUUUACAAAAGUCAGUGGUGGUGGGGAAUGGCUUUGAAUACUGUUUUUGUAUUAUUGUAGAUGUUUAAAAAGUGAUAAGGAGACUAUUUGUAGAGAAAACACUAGCCCAGAAGAGAGUCCCUGCUUGGCCUGAUAUGUUUUGAAAGUGGCUUUCAGUUCAGCAUGACUAGCAAGAUAACCAGGCAAAUGAUUCAUCAGGCUUGUAACUCAGCAGGUGUGUUGCUGUGCACCCAGCCAAGGAACCUUCCACAGCUCACUUCAAGCUGUGAUAUCCUGUAUGUAGCAAGACUAAGAGAGGAAGGCUAGGCACUCAGUCUGCCUCUUACUGGUGCAUCCCACAGCCUUCCACUCAGUUCUGCUCAGGACAUCUUUAUUAAACAUCCAUUCUUGUCUAACAAAUGGUCCUGGCUGCUGGUGGGAGUGCAGGAAGGUAAAGAAAAGGAUGAAAGCCUAAAAGAAAGAUUGUUCCUGACUGAAGGAAUUUUAUUAGAAAAUUUAGUUUUGCCUCUUGAGAAAAAAAACAAAAACAAAAACAAAAAACUUCAACUGAAGGACAUAUCUAAAAUUAAAAACACAGCAUAUAACAGUAAAUUAAAAGAAAUAAAAAGCUCUGAAUUGAAAUUUUACUCAAUAAUUGAGUGUAUGUUUAAAACUGACAUGCCCACUUACAAAUUAAAAAAAGCUAUAUAUUCAAAUGUCAAUUCUAGCUAUCUCUGAAUAUGGAAUUAUUGAUAAACUUAUUUAUAAAGUUUUUCUUAUUUCUCUUACAAUGAACAAAGUUUACUUUUGACAACAGGAAAAGAAAUAUUUCAAAAUCAUCAGAGGAAGGAAUGGGGAUAAAAGUGGUAUCUAUAGACCUAGCUCUCCACAGGAGAGAAACUUUACUCAUACAGAGAGAUUUCUCAUAGUUCCAGGGUGUAAACCAACAUAUCUAUCUCUCUUGGCUACUGUGUAAUGUUUUCUAUUGACUCGAAACUGCUAUAGAAAAGGCAAAGAAAAACUUGAUUUGUCUUUCCAUGGCUUGGACAAACUGCAAAGAAAUGCAUUUUCCUUUUAUUAAUCUGUUUCUUAAUGUAUCUAAAGAUGCAACUAGUUAGUGAAUCCUAGUCCCCCUGGUAACAACUUCGGCACACCAGGCAGGAGGCAAAUUUGCUUCAGACUGCUGUAGUUAAAUGCAAGGUAAUCCCCAAGUUUGGGGAGUUUUUCCAUGAUUCUCUAACUCUUGGCAUCAGUUGCCUGACAACCCUUACAGACAACUGCUUACCAACCCUUACUGACAAAAAGACUUUUGAAUUUUGACCUGGCAUUACUUGUAAAGAAUACUUACUCAUUCACUUAUGUAAUUUGGAGAGUGUCUAGUAAAAGAGUUCAUGGUCUUAUUUGUGGGUAUUUUUGUGCUGUUUGUGAAAAAUUAUGAAGAAGGUGCCUUAGAAACACCUGCCAUGUGAGGGCUGCAUUGAGCCUUAUGCUGAGCUGUUGUUUGGUUAUGUAACAUUGAAGUUCAGAUCUUGUUUAGCACCAUGCUCACUUGCUUCAUUUUAUUUUCCUUUUCACAUAGCCUGAUUUUUGAUUUUUGAUUUUGGUUUCAUCUUUAUUUCAAUGCUUGGGAUGUGAAAGCCAUUUGGAUUAAUCUUGAAUCACAUUGCAAUGCCAGUUAAAACGAGAUAAAUGAUCUCUACUAUCUCCACCAUCAAUACUGUUUGGGUGACACAUUUAUUGAAGGACAAUAAAGACUUAUCUUCUUAUAUUUGAA